GCUCUUCCUUUUACCUGCCCUUCUCUCACGAUUGAAACAUCUUCCAGCAGUGACCUGAGAAGCUACGUAUUGACACGGCGCUACCACGGGUGGAGGAGCCUGCAUUGCUGAAUCACAGGAUGAAGGCGAAUCCCUGCCAGCCUCCAUCCAUCUCUGGGGUGCUUAGCAGAAUCCUCAGCUCACAAGAUGAAUAAAUGCAGACUAAAUGAUGCACAAAUAAUCUUCACACACAACCAUCAACACAUGGAAAGACUGCAGGACGGCCAGAUCCCAAGCUAACAAACAGGGGAAGAUGAUGUUUCAAAUGAUCAUCUGAAUGCUGGGUUUCCACCUUCCACCAGGAAGUCAUAUGGUAAAAAGAAAAAAAAUGGCAUUAUGAUACAAACAGAAAAUGUAACAGUGGAGUGCAGAAAAUACAAAAAAAAGGAAAAAAUAAAUAGAAAAUCUUCAAAGAGGCAAUCUGUUUAAAUCUUCAAGAACUGGAAACAGUAAAAGUGAACAGGUUUUUAUUGAGCAUGUCAAUAAAAUGUUUGCAUAAGACUUUACAAGUGCUUUAUUUCAUGAGGUUUUUAUUAUUGAUCAAAGCAACGAAAAUGAACGGGAAAUUCAUUCUCAUCAAAUCUACAACUUGGGAGGAGGUCCGAUGAAAUCCCUGGAAGCUCACAUUUUUUAUAAAUGAAGAGUUAAUUACCGGUGGGAACAAUGAGAACCUCUGUGGUUCUUCCUGAUGCUUGGAUCCUCCCAGACCUCUGUUUCCAGUCUCCUUCUCCACAACCUGGCCUAUGCGAUGCAAGUGGUCUAACUGAUCUCCGCCUAGGGAAGGAUCCUUCGGCAACUUGCCGACAAGAGAAGCAGCGAUGCCCGAGGCAGGUCCAAAGGAGCACUGACUGCGUGGGAUUGAUUACACUGGAGGAACAAAAGGUCCUGUGGCUACACAAGUUUGAAAAGCAGAAGGUACAAUCAUUGUAUUUCUGGCAGACUUUUCAAAGACUUUAAUAUAUGAAUCCCUCAUAUGAAUCUCCUGGAGGAUUAUAUAAUAGGCAGAUCUCCCAGCCAUUUUCACUGAACAGUUCUUAGAAUUGGUAUCCUUGAAAAAUUUCACCUAACCACUCAAUAUGGUAGCCACUAGUCCUGGGUGGCUAUUGAGCACCUGAAAUUUGCCUAGUCUGAAUUAAGACACAUUCUAAGAAUAAAGCACACUGUAUUUCAAAGGCAGUACAAAAAUAAAAAAGAAUGUAAGCUGUCUCAAUAAUAAUUUUUGUAUUGAAUACGUGUUGAAAUGAUGUUAUUUUUGAUAUAUUGAGUGAAAUAAAUUGUAUUGCUAAAAUGAAUUUUACUUGUUUUGUUUUACUUGUGCAAUGAGGUUACUAGAUAAUAUAAAAUUCUGUCUGUGGUUUGCAUUAUUUUUCUAGGAUGAUAAUGAGCUAGAGGACAGCAUGUAUGUAAGACCUUCAGGAUUUAGAGUCUGGCUAUCUCUCCAGCUCUCUGUCUAAAUACUGUCUUGCUUUGGGUUCCCAUCUCUCCAGAUCGCUUAAAGAAACCCCUCCCUGUCCCUGCCAACAACCACCACAGCAGACAGCCUGACAUCUCUAUCUCUUGCUCAUUUCAACUUAUGGGAUGACAUCUGGCCAACACUUAUUCAGCCUUCAGGUAUUAAGCAACAAUCACCCACACAGGAAGCCUAUCUGGAAAUCCAGGCACACCUAUCCCCUGGCCUGAU
rnacentral:lncRNA from 1 species